GGUUAAGCUACUAAGAGCACACGGAGGAUGCCUAGGCGCUAGGAGCCGAAGAAGGACGUGGCGAACAACGAUAAGGCCUCGGGGAGCUGUAAGCAAGCUUUGAUCCGGGGAUGUCCGAAUGGGGAAACCCGGCUGGUGUAAUAGCCAGUCACUCGUAACUGAAUACAUAGGUUGCGAAGAGGCAGACCAGGGGAACUGAAACAUCUAAGUACCUUGAGGAAGAGAAAACAAGUAGUGAUUCCGUCAGUAGCGGCGAGCGAACGCGGAAGAGCCUAAACCAAGAGGCUUGCCUCUUGGGGUUGUGGGACGUCUCACAUGGAGUUACAAAGGAAUAGGGUAGGCGAAGAGGUCUGGAAAGGCCCGCUAGAAGAGGUAAAAGCCCUGUAACCGAAAGUCUGUUCCCUCCGAGACGGAUCCCGAGUAGUGCGGGGCACGUGAAACCCCGUAUGAAUCUGCCAGGACCAUCUGGUAAGGCUAAAUACUCCCUAGUGACCGAUAGCGAAGCAGUACCGUGAGGGAAAGGUGAAAAGCACCCCGGAAGGGGAGUGAAAGAGAACCUGAAACCGUGUGCUUACAAGAAGUCAGAGCCCUAUGAUAUUUUCCUUCGGAAAAAUCACGGGUGAUGGCGUGCCUUUUGUAGAAUGAACCGGCGAGUUACGUUCCCGUGCAAGGUUAAGGUGAGAAGCCGUAGCCGCAGCGAAAGCGAGUCUGAAUAGGGCGAGUAUAGUACGUGGGCGUAGACCCGAAACCGUGUGAUCUACCCCUGUCCAGGGUGAAGGUGCGGUAACACGCACUGGAGGCCCGAACCCACGAACGUUGAAAAGUUCGGGGAUGAGGUGGGGGUAGCGGAGAAAUUCCAAUCGAACUCGGAGAUAGCUGGUUCUCCCCGAAAUAGCUUUAGGGCUAGCCUCGGUGGUACAGUCGUGGAGGUAGAGCACUGAUUGGGUGCGGGGCCCGCAAGGGUUACCAAGCUCAGUCAAACUCCGAAUGCCAUAGACUGAUUAACCGGGAGUCAGACAGUGAGUGCUAAGAUCCAUUGUCAAAAGGGAAACAGCCCAGACCAUCAGCUAAGGUCCCCAAGUGUGUGUUAAGUGGGAAAGGAUGUGGAGUUGCCCAGACAACCAGGAUGUUGGCUUAGAAGCAGCCACCAUUUAAAGAGUGCGUAAUAGCUCACUGGUCGAGUGACUCUGCGCCGAAAAUGUAACGGGGCUAAACACACCACCGAAGCUAUGGCUUGAUGCAUUGCAUCAGGGGUAGGGGAGCGUUGUAUGUAGGUUGAAGGUGUACCGUAAGGAGCGCUGGACAGCAUACAAGUGAGAAUGCCGGUAUGAGUAACGAAAAGAUCAGUGAGAAUCUGAUCCGCCGAAAGCCUAAGGGUUCCUGAGGAAGGUUCGUCCGCUCAGGGUAAGUCGGGACCUAAGGCGAGGCCGACAGGCGUAGUCGAAGGACAACAGGUGGAAAUUCCUGUACCACCGUAAACCGUUAUGAGCGAUGGGGUGACGCAGCAGGGUAGUGACGCGGACUGAUGGAUGUCCGUCCAAGCAGUGAGAGGGUAGCAUAGGCAAAUCCGUGCUACAUAACCUUGGGCUGUGAUGGGGAGCGAAAAUUGCAGUAGCGAAGGUCAUGAUCUCACACUGCCAAGAAAAGCCUCUAGCCAGGUGAAGGUGCCCGUACCGUAAACCGACACAGGUAGGCGAGAAGAGAAUUCUAAGGCGCGCGGAAGAACUCUCGUUAAGGAACUCGGCAAAAUGACCCCGUAACUUCGGGAGAAGGGGUGCCUCGGUAGGGUGAAUAGCCCGAGGGGGCCGCAGUGAAAAGGCCCAAGCGACUGUUUAGCAAAAACACAGGUCUGUGCGAAGCCGCAAGGCGAAGUAUACGGGCUGACGCCUGCCCGGUGCUGGAAGGUUAAGGGGAGUGGUUAGGAGGUAACUCCGAAGCUAUGAACUGAAGCCCCAGUAAACGGCGGCCGUAACUAUAACGGUCCUAAGGUAGCGAAAUUCCUUGUCAGGUAAAUUCUGACCCGCACGAAUGGCGUAACGACUUGGGCGCUGUCUCAACGAGAGAUCCGGUGAAAUUUUAAUACCUGUGAAGAUGCAGGUUACCCGCGACAAGACGGAAAGACCCCAUGGAGCUUUACUGCAGCUUGAUAUUGGACUUUGAUACGAUUUGUACAGGAUAGGUGGGAGCCUAGGAAGAGGGAGCGCAAGCUUCCUUGGAGGCGCCGUUGGGAUACCACCCUGAUCGUAUCGGAGUUCUAACCUAGUACCGUGAACCGGUAUGGGGACAGUGUCAGGUGGGCAGUUUGACUGGGGCGGUCGCCUCCUAAAGAGUAACGGAGGCGCCCCAAGGUUCCCUCAGAAUGGUUGGAAAUCAUUCGAAGAGUGCAAAGGCAAAAGGGAGCUUGACUGCGAGACUGACAAGUCGAGCAGGGACGAAAGUCGGGCUUAGUGAUCCGGUGGUACCGCAUGGAAGGGCCAUCGCUCAACGGAUAAAAGCUACCCUGGGGAUAACAGGCUUAUCUCCCCCAAGAGUCCACAUCGACGGGGAGGUUUGGCACCUCGAUGUCGGCUCAUCGCAUCCUGGGGCUGAAGUAGGUCCCAAGGGUUGGGCUGUUCGCCCAUUAAAGCGGUACGCGAGCUGGGUUCAGAACGUCGUGAGACAGUUCGGUCCCUAUCUGUCGUGGGCGUAGGAAAUUUGAGAGGAGCUGUCCUUAGUACGAGAGGACCGGGAUGGACGCACCGCUGGUGCACCAGUUGUUCCGCCAGGAGCACAGCUGGGUAGCUAAGUGCGGAAGGGAUAAGCGCUGAAAGCAUCUAAGCGUGAAGCCCCCCUCAAGAUGAGAUUUCCCAAUUAGUAAGACCCCUUGAAGACGACGAGGUAGAUAGGCUGGAGGUGGAAGUGCAGCAAUGCAUGGAGCUGACCAGUACUAAUCGGUCGAGGGCUUAUCCAA
rfam:Paenibacillus yonginensis strain DCY84 chromosome, complete genome.